UACGAAGGGGGCUAGCGUUGUUCGGAGUUACUGGGCGUAAAGGGCGCGUAGGCGGCGCAUCAAGUCAGGCGUGAAAGCCCUGGGCUCAACCCGGGAAUUGCGCUUGAGACUGGUGUGCUUGAGUACGGGAGAGGAUAGUGGAAUUCCUGGUGUAGCGGUGAAAUGCGCAGAUAUCAGGAAGAACACCCGUGGCGAAGGCGGCUCUCUGGAACGCAACUGACGCUGAGACGCGAAAGCGUGGGGAGCAAACAGG
rnacentral:rRNA from 1 species